UGCUGACUUUGGCAGCAUUAUACUAAAACUGAAAUGAUAUGAAGAUGAGCAUGACCCUGUGUGAAGAUGAUGUGAAACAUUUGUGGUGUUUUAUAUAUAUAU